AUACGGAGGAUCCGAGCGUUAUCCGGAUUUAUUGGGUUUAAAGGGUGCGCAGGCGGCCAUUUAAGUCAGCGGUUAAAUCGUGGGGCUCAACCCCAUUCUGCCGUUGAUACUGGGUGGCUUGAUUGCGGUCGAGGUUGGCGGAAUUCGUUGUGUAGCGGUGAAAUGCAUAGAUAUGACGAAGAACACCGAUUGCGUAGGCAGCUGACCAGAUCGCAAAUGACGCUCAUGCACGAAAGUGCGGGGAUCGAACAGGAUUAGAUACCCUGGUAGUCUGCACAGUAAACGAUGAAUACUCGCUGUUUGCGAUACACUGUAAGCGGCCAAGCGAAAGCGUUAAGUAUUCCACCUGGGGAGUACGCCGGCAACGGUGAAACUCAAAUGAAUUGACGGG
rnacentral:rRNA from 1 species